UACGUAGGGCGCAAGCGUUAUCCGGAAUUAUUGGGCGUAAAGAGCUCGUAGGCGGUUUGUCGCGUCUGCCGUGAAAGUCCGGGGCUCAACUCCGGAUCUGCGGUGGGUACGGGCAGACUAGAGUGAUGUAGGGGGAGACUGGAAUUCCUGGUGUAGCGGUGAAAUGCGCAGAUAUCAGGAGGAACACCGAGUGCGAAGGCG
rnacentral:rRNA from 1 species